rnacentral:rRNA from 1 species
GACGAACCGUGCGAACGUUAUUCGGAAUCACUGGGCUUAAAGCGCGUGUAGGCGGGCCGCCACGUCGGGCGCUGAAAUCCCCCGGCUCAACCGGGGAACGGGCACCGAUACGAGCGGCCUGGAGGGGAGUAGGGGGACCUGGAACUUCCGGUGGAGCGGUGAAAUGCGUUGAGAUCGGAAGGAACGCCCGUGGCGAAAGCGAGGUCCUGGGCUCCUGCUGACGCUGAGACGCGAAAGCGUGGGGAGCGAACAGG